AUUUUAGAGCAGGAAAAGACCUUAGAAAUUACCUACUUAACCCUCUCAUUUACAAGGCAGGCAUAAAAGGGUUCAGUAAUUGACCAAGGUCACUCAGUUAACUUGAGCAGACUUUUUCAGAAGGCAUUGCUUUGGAAUCGGCACCUUUCUAUAUCUAUUAUGGGAAAUUUUAUUUAUGUGAAAUAAAAUCAUUGAAUCCCCAUAUCCGCCUAUCAGAGAAGGAUACUUUAACGGCUGUAAUGAACUCGCACGCUGAGGUAAGUUUAAACGAACAUAAAAUGGACCAAAGGCAGAAAACGCACUGGGACUCGGUACCUGCAUAAUGAAAAUAUGGAAUACUCUGCACCUGUAAAAAGAGACCCAGGCAGUACUUUUCAUCUGACGUCGCUUACUCACCUGAGGUGCAGAGAAGGGGGAAGAGAAGAGAGGGAGAAGGGGAGGGGGAAAGAAAGAGAGAAAGAGGGGAGACAGGGAGAGAGAAGAGGAAAGCUGAGGAGGGAGGGAGAGAGAGAGCGCCUGCCUCAAAGCCGCGAGGAGAGGUACCCUUUGUUUGACAAACCCUGAAAGGAAAGCCUCUCGUAGCAGCUCUGUUCCCACCUCCAAGCGUGUGCCGAGCUGCUAGGUGGAGCCCGCGCGCACUCCAGAUCCGGGUUUUGCCUCCCGCCACCCCUUCCCCGGCACGAGCCCCCUCUUCGGCUCCCAGCGCGCUCGGCGCUCGCCCGCCCGCGGUUCAUUCUGGCUUCGGCUCGGGCCCUGGCUGCGUCCACCGCACGCAGGCUGCACGGCCCCGGCGCGCCCGCGCUCCCACCGGCUUUCGGCGCGUCGCCCGGUCGUCGGCUCGCCGGGCACCGCUAACCCCAGUUCCCUAGAGCGGGGAUGCAGAUGCUGCCGCCAGUCCGGGUGGGCGCCGCCGCUGCCGCUGCCGGUUUUGCCCGGACUGCUCGCCGCCUCCGCUCCCGCAGCUGCCGCUGCCGCUGCCGCCGCCUGUGACUCGCCCCCUCCCCUUUCUUUCUUCUCUUUUUGCCUUGGUCCUCUUUCUCCGGGUGUGCGCGCGCGCGCGGGGUGCACGGUUGGCUUUGGCAGAAGCUCGCUCGUGUGUGCGCGUGUGUGAGUGUGCGUGUCUGGAGAGCGCCAGAGCCUUGCUCGCUCUCGGAGAGUCGAAGAAGAGAAAGAACCGAAGAGGCGGCGGCGGCGGCGCGGCGCGGAGCCCGGGGCCGCGCGAUGAAGCUCCCACAUGUCCGCAGCUGCCCAGCCCGGCCGGCCAGCUAAUCAGCCAUCCCCCGGGCUCGGGGCCCGCGGCCCUUGGGACGCAGCCCUCGGCCGCCCGGCGCCCGCUCCGCCCGCGCGCCCCCGCGGUGCACCCGGGAAGGAGUUUGUGUGGCCCUCGCUCCAGCUCACGGCGCAGGUUGCGGGCGCGGGAGGAGACCCUCGGAGGACCGAGAACCUCGGGAGAAGGAGGAGGGAUUGGCGGAGAAGAAGCCACCCCUGGCCCUCGCGGCUCCCCCUACCUAUUACAUCGCUCCCGCUCCCAGGCGGAAAGGGGAACUGGAUAUAAAGAUCGACUGGGGGGAUGGUGGAGACCGAGCCUGACUCCGAAGUUGUGCAACUGUGGACUCGGAGAGACAUUUGAACCCUCCACUCUUUUUGCUCCGUUUUUACCCCCUUAG
ensembl:lncRNA